GACGAACGCUGGCGGCGUGCCUAAUACAUGCAAGUUGAGCGCUGAAGGUUGGUACUUGUACCAACUGGAUGAGCAGCGAACGGGUGAGUAACGCGUGGGGAAUCUGCCUUUGAGCGGGGGACAACAUUUGGAAACGAAUGCUAAUACCGCAUAAAAACUUUAAACACAAGUUUUAAGUUUGAAAGAUGCAAUUGCAUCACUCAAAGAUGAUCCCGCGUUGUAUUAGCUAGUUGGUGAGGUAAAGGCUCACCAAGGCGAUGAUACAUAGCCGACCUGAGAGGGUGAUCGGCCACAUUGGGACUGAGACACGGCCCAAACUCCUACGGGAGGCAGCAGUAGGGAAUCUUCGGCAAUGGACGAAAGUCUGACCGAGCAACGCCGCGUGAGUGAAGAAGGGUUUCGGGUCGUAAAACUCUGUUGGUAGAGAAGAACGUUGGUGAGAGUGGAAAGCUCAUCAAGUGACGGUAACUACCCAGAAAGGGACGGCUAACUACGUG
rnacentral:rRNA from 1 species